GCUCUAGAACUAGUGGAUCCCCCGGGCUGCAGCCCAAUGUGGAAUUCGCCCUUCGCCCGCCGGGCGCGGCGGGCGGGGCGGGGGCACGGGGGGCCUACGGGAGGCAGCAGUGGGGAAUAUUGCACAAUGGGCGCAAGCCUGAUGCAGCGACGCCGCGUGAGGGAUGGAGGCCUUCGGGUUGUAAACCUCUUUUAUCGU
rnacentral:rRNA from 1 species